GCCUGGGUGGCUCAGUCGGUUGAGCGUCCGACUUCGUUCAGCUCAGGUCAGGGUCUCGUGGUUCGUGGGUUCAAGACCCACGUCGGGCU
rnacentral:tRNA from 1 species